UACGUAGGGUGCAAGCGUUGUCCGGAAUUAUUGGGCGUAAAGAGCUCGUAGGCGGUCUGUUGCGUCCGCUGUGAAAACUCGGGGCUUAACCCCGAGCCUGCAGUGGAUACGGGCAGACUAGAGGUAGGUAGGGGAGAAUGGAAUUCCCGGUGUAGCGGUGAAAUGCGUAGAGAUCGGGAGGAAGGCCGGUGGCGAAGGCGGCGCUCUGGAACGUUUCUGACACUGAGGCUCGAAAGCGUGGGGAGCAAACAGG
rnacentral:rRNA from 1 species